rnacentral:rRNA from 1 species
AGAGUUUGAUUAUGGCUCAGAUUGAACGCUGGCGGCAGGCCUAACACAUGCAAGUCGAGCGGUAGAGAGGUGCUUGCACCUCUUGAGAGCGGCGGACGGGUGAGUAAUGCCUAGGAAUCUGCCUGGUAGUGGGGGAUAACGCUCGGAAACGGACGCUAAUACCGCAUACGUCCUACGGGAGAAAGCAGGGGACCUUCGGGCCUUGCGCUAUCAGAUGAGCCUAGGUCGGAUUAGCUAGUUGGUGGGGUAAUGGCUCACCAAGGCGACGAUCCGUAACUGGUCUGAGAGGAUGAUCAGUCACACUGGAACUGAGACACGGUCCAGACUCCUACGGGAGGCAGCAGUGGGGAAUAUUGGACAAUGGGCGAAAGCCUGAUCCAGCCAUGCCGCGUGUGUGAAGAAGGUCUUCGGAUUGUAAAGCACUUUAAGUUGGGAGGAAGGGCAUUAACCUAAUACGUUAGUGUUUUGACGUUACCGACAGAAUAAGCACCGGCUAACUCUGUGCCAGCAGCCGCGGUAAUACAGAGGGUGCAAGCGUUAAUCGGAAUUACUGGGCGUAAAGCGCGCGUAGGUGGUUCGUUAAGUUGGAUGUGAAAUCCCCGGGCUCAACCUGGGAACUGCAUUCAAAACUGUCGAGCUAGAGUAUGGUAGAGGGUGGUGGAAUUUCCUGUGUAGCGGUGAAAUGCGUAGAUAUAGGAAGGAACACCAGUGGCGAAGGCGACCACCUGGACUGAUACUGACACUGAGGUGCGAAAGCGUGGGGAGCAAACAGGAUUAGAUACCCUGGUAGUCCACGCCGUAAACGAUGUCAACUAGCCGUUGGGAGCCUUGAGCUCUUAGUGGCGCAGCUAACGCAUUAAGUUGACCGCCUGGGGAGUACGGCCGCAAGGUUAAAACUCAAAUGAAUUGACGGGGGCCCGCACAAGCGGUGGAGCAUGUGGUUUAAA